rnacentral:rRNA from 1 species
UACGGGGGGGGCAAGCGUUGUUCGGAAUUACUGGGCGUAAAGGGCUCGUAGGUGGCCAACUAAGUCAGACGUGAAAUCCCUCGGCUUAACCGGGGAACUGCGUCUGAUACUGGAUGGCUUGAGUUUGGGAGAGGGACGCGGAAUUCCAGGUGUAGCGGUGAAAUGCGUAGAUAUCGGGAGGAACACCAGUGGCGAAGGCGGUUGCCUGGGGCUUUGCUGACGCUGAUGCGCGAAAGCGUGGGGAGCGAUCCGG